rnacentral:misc_RNA from 1 species
UUAAUGAUUCAAAAUCUUUCCUUAGACUGCAUGUUUACACGAGUUAGGUUGAGUCUUUGGCGGACACGCUCCAGCAAAAGCCGGUGGGCCGAGGGCUCGAUCCGCCAAAGCAACAUGAUAUAGGUUAACACGGGUGGAGGGUCGACUCUGCGCGCGGCGGGAAGCCGGGCAGAGCCUCACGCUCUGUAAUGAUCCUUCCGCAGGUUCACCUACGGAAA